rnacentral:rRNA from 1 species
CACGUAGUUAGCCGUGGCUUUCUGGUUAGGUACCGUCAAGGUACCGGCAGUUACUCCGAUACUUGUUCUUCCCUAACAACAGAGCUUUACGACCCGAAGGCCUUCAUCGCUCACGCGGCGUUGCUCCGUCAGACUUUCGUCCAUUGCGGAAGAUUCCCUACUGCUGCCUCCCGUAGGAGUCUGGGCCGUGUCUCAGUCCCAGUGUGGCCGAUCACCCUCUCAGGUCGGCUACGCAUCGUGGCCUUGGUGAGCCGUUACCUCACCAACUAGCUAAUGCACCGCGGGCCCAUCUGUAAGUGACAGCGAGAGGCCGUCUUUCAGCACUUCCUCAUGAGAGGAAAUGAAUUAUCCGGUAUUACGCCCCGGUUUCCCGGAGUUACUCCCGAUCCUUACAGGCAGGUUGCCCAGUGUUACUCCAACCCGUCCGCCGUCUAAUCCUUCGGGAGCAAGCCUCCCGAAGACUCCGCUCGACUUGCAUGUAUUAGGCCACGCCCGCCAGCCGUUCGCCUUGACG